rnacentral:rRNA from 1 species
UAAUACGGAGGGGGCAAGCGUUGUUCGGAAUUAUUGGGCGUAAAGGGUAUGUAGGCGGUCGAGUAAGUCAGGCGCGUAAGCCCGUGGCUCAACCACGGAAUUGCGUUUGAAACUACUCGACUUGAGUACAGAAGAGGAAAGCGGAAUUCCCAGUGUAGCGGUGAAAUGCAUUGAUAUUGGGAAGAACAUCUGUGGCGAAGGCGGCUUUCUGGUCUGUUACUGACGCUGAGAUACGAAAGCCAGGGGAGCGAACGGGAUUAGAUACCCCGGUAGUCCUGGCUGUAAACGAUGGGCACUAGGUGCAGGAGGUAUCGAUCCCCUCUGUGCCGCAGCUAACGCAUUAAGUGCCCCGCCUGGGGAGUACGGUCGCAAGGCUG